AGAUGUUAUCUGGCAGAAUGAUGUGAAGUGUAAGGGAAGAGAAAUCUCUCUGUUGGACUGUCUCUCCGCAGCUCCAGCUAACAGCAAGUGUAACCACAAGGAAAUUGCCAGUGUAAAGUGCUCUGGAUCCGAGUUGGUGACCGUCUCCCCUUCACCUCCACCUGCGGGGCAGGAAAGCCCGUCUAUUUCCAUGCCAGUUGUCGUCUGUUCAUCUUUGGGAGUCUUGUUAAUCUGUGAGUUAAUCGCAUUACUGGUGGUCAUGCAAAGAAAAUUGCAAAUGAAAGAACGUUACCUUGGUGGCAGAGGCUCACGCCUUGGUUUGUACCAAGGAAUUUAUGAAGAAAUUGAGAAUAUUCCCCCUGGAAAGAGGACUGAUCACAAACAUGGACCAGGUA